UACAGAGGUCUCAAGCGUUGUUCGGAUUCAUUGGGCGUAAAGGGUGCGUAGGCGGCGCGGUAAGUCGGGUGUGAAAUCUUGGAGCUUAACUCCGAAACUGCAUUCGAUACUGCCGUGCUUGAGGACUGGAGAGGAGACUGGAAUUUACGGUGUAGCGGUGAAAUGCGUAGAUAUCGUAAGGAAGACCAGUGGCGAAGGCGGGUCCCUGGACAGUUCCUGACGCUGAGGCACGAAGGCCAGGGGAGCAAACGGGG
rnacentral:rRNA from 1 species